GGCGGCGUGCCUAACACAUGCAAGUCGAGCGGGGACAUGCGACGGAAGAGAAGUUUCGGAUGGAUCUGAAGAUGUAUGUUCUAGCGGCGGACGGGUGAGUAACGCGUGAGCAACCUGUCCUUCACAGGGGGAUAACACAGCGAAAGUUGUACUAAUACCGCAUAAGACCACGGCAGGACAUCCUGCAGGGGUCAAAGGAGGAAUCCGGUGAAGGGUGGGCUCGCGUCCGAUUAGAUAGUUGGUGAGGUAACGGCCCACCAAGUCGACGAUCGGUAGCCGACCUGAGAGGGUGAUCGGCCACAUUGGGACUGAGACACGGCCCAAACUCCUACGGGAGGCAGCAGUGGGGAAUAUUGGGCAAAGUGGGGGGAACCCUGACCCAGCAACGCCGCGUGAGGGAAGAAGGUUUUCGGAUCGUAAACCUCUGUCCCAGGUGAAGAGCAAGAGACGGUAACCUGGGAGGAACGCCCCGGCUAACUACGUGCCAGCCGCCGC
rnacentral:rRNA from 1 species